rnacentral:rRNA from 1 species
UGCAGUCGAGCGAGAACGCCUCCUUCGGGAGGUUAGUAAAGCGGCGAACGGGUGAGUAACACGUGAGCGAUCUACCCGACGGCGGGGGAUAACCCAGGGAAACCUGGGCUAAUACCGCAUACAGCACCGGCUUGGAAGCCGGAUGUGAAAGCUGGCCUCUCGAAGAAGCUGGCACCAUCGGAUGAGCUCGCGGCCUAUCAGCUAGUUGGUGGGGUAACGGCCUACCAAGGCGAUGACGGGUAGCUGGCGUGAGAGCGUGGCCAGCCACACUGGGACUGAGACACGGCCCAGACUCCUACGGGAGGCAGCAGUGGGGAAUAUUGCGCAAUGGGCGAAAGCCUGACGCAGCGACGCCGCGUGGGGGAGGAAGGCCUCAGGGUCGUAAACCCCUGUCAGGUGGGACGAACCACCGAUCGGUCAAUACCCGGUCGGUCUGACGGUACCACCAGANGAAGCUCCGGCUAACUCCGUGCCAGCAGCCGCGGUAAUACGGAGGGAGCUAGCGUUGUUCGGAAUCACUGGG